rnacentral:rRNA from 1 species
UAGGGAAUCUUCGGCAAUGGGGGGAACCCUGACCGAGCAACGCCGCGUGAGUGAAGAAGGUUUUCGGAUCGUAAAGCCCUGUUGUUAAGGAAGAACGAGUGUGAGAAUGGAAAGUUCAUACUGUGACGGUACUUAACCAGAAAGGGACGGCUAACUACGUGCCAGCAGCCGCGGUAAUACGUAGGUCCCGAGCGUUGUCCGGAUUUAUUGGGCGUAAAGCGAGCGCAGGCGGUUAGAUAAGUCUGAAGUUAAAGGCAGUGGCUCAACCAUUGUAGGCUUUAGAAACUGUUUAACUUGAGUGCAGAAGGGGAGGGUGGAAUUCCAUGUGUAGCGGUGAAAUGCGUAGAUAUAUGGAGGAACACCGGUGGCGAAAGCGGCUCUCUGGUCUGUAACUGACGCUGAGGCUCGAAAGCGUGGGGAGCGAACAGG